rnacentral:rRNA from 1 species
CUCCUACGGGAGGCAGCAGUGGGGAAUAUUGGGCAAUGGGCGAAAGCCUGACCCAGCAACGCCGCGUGAAGGAAGAAGGCCUUCGGGUUGUAAACUUCUUUGACCAGGGACGAAAUAAAUGACGGUACCUGGAAAACAAGCCACGGCUAACUACGUGCCAGCAGCCGCGGUAAUACGUAGGUGGCAAGCGUUAUCCGGAUUUACUGGGUGUAAAGGGCGUGUAGGCGGUUUUGUAAGUCGGAUGUGAAAUUCCCAGGCUUAACCUGGGAGCUGCACCCGAAACUAUAGAACUUGAGUACUGGAGAGGAUAGUGGAAUUCCUAGUGUAGCGGUAAAAUGCGUAGAUAUUAGGAGGAACAUCAGUGGCGAAGGCGACUAUCUGGACAGUAACUGACGCUGAGGCGCGAAAGCGUGGGGAGCAAACAGGAUUAGAUACCCUGGUAGUCCACGCCGUAAACGAUGGAUACUAGGUGUAGGGGGUAUCGACCCCCCCUGUGCCGGAGUUAACACAAUAA